rnacentral:rRNA from 1 species
AACGAACGCUGGCGGCGUGCUUAACACAUGCAAGUCGAACGGAUCAAGGGGCUUGCUCCUUGAUUAGUGGCGCACGGGUGAGUAACGCGUGGAUAAUCUGCCCGACGAUCUGGGAUAACAUCUCGAAAGGGGUGCUAAUACCGGAUAAGCCCACGGGGUCUUCGGAUCUUGCGGGAAAAGAGGGGGACCUUCGGGCCUCUUGUCGUCGGAUGAGUCCGCGUACCAUUAGCUAGUUGGCGGGGUAAAGGCCCACCAAGGCUACGAUGGUUAGCUGGUCUGAGAGGAUGAUCAGCCACACUGGAACUGAGACACGGUCCAGACUCCUACGGGAGGCAGCAGUGGGGAAUUUUGCGCAAUGGGGGAAACCCUGACGCAGCAACGCCGCGUGAGUGAUGAAGGCCUUCGGGUCGUAAAGCUCUGUCUAGAGGAAAGAAGUGUGGGGUGGCUAAUAUCCACUUCACUUGACGGUACCUCUGAAGGAAGCACCGGCUAACUCCGUGCCAGCAGCCGCGGUAAUACGGAGGGUGCGAGCGUUGUUCGGAUUUAUUGGGCGUAAAGCGCGUGUAGGCGGUUUCUUAAGUCUGAUGUGAAAGCCCCGGGCUCAACCUGGGAAGUGCAUUGGAUACUGGGAGACUUGAAUACGGGAGAGGGUAGUGGAAUUCCUAGUGUAGGAGUGAAAUCCGUAGAUAUUAGGAGGAACACCGGUGGCGAAGGCGGCUACCUGGACCGAUAUUGACGCUGAGACGCGAAAGCGUGGGUAGCAAACAGGAUUAGAUACCCUGGUAGUCCACGCCGUAAACGAUGAGAACUAGGUGUUGCGGGUAUUGACCCCUGCAGUGCCGCAGCUAACGCAUUAAGUUCUCCGCCUGGGAAGUACGGUCGCAAGACUAA